AUGUUUACAUUGUCAGUCAUCAUCAAGAAUAUAACAAAUGAAUUGGAAAUCAAUUCCCUGUUUUGCAUCUGUGACAAAGUUUCUCAGUUCCAGUGUUCUUCGUGUUGUCGCCGUGGCUAUUGUGGCCGUGAUUGUCAAACAAAAGACUGCAAUGAUCACAGACAACAAUGUGAACAGGAGUCUGUUUCAACUGUGUGAAGAUAUCAUUAGUGUUUAUUAUGAUGUCAUGAACAGUUUUAAACAAUUUCAACAUUGUCUCAGCUGUGUGAAGACAUCCAUAGUGUUAUUUUUAGCAAUGUCAUUAAGAGUCGUUUUAAACAAGACUUUGAAAUGGUGUGAACAAAAUCAUAUUGUGUGAAAAUAUUUCCAUUUUUUGCACCUUGAAGGUGCUGUGUGUACUGUGUGAUGAAAAAUGUUAGGAUUCCCAUGUUUUUGAAAAAAAAAGCCGAGAGUAUGAUUUCUCUCCUAACAGGAAACCCAACACAAAAAUGUUGUUAUUAAACAGAAGAAAUUGUGAUGAAAA